CCAUGUUCAUAAUGAACAACUAUGGACCUCGCCAAAACAAAAAAGUCACAGCAGUUAGAAUAUCUGUUUUCAUGUCGAGCCUGACAACAGAAGAAUAGAAUCUUGAAAGAAUGAGUUGGAUAAAGAGCCCUGCGUUGAUCUUCAGGUACUACCUGAAAUAAUUAGACACUUAGACACAAUUUGACACAUGCUAAAUGAAAACAUAUGAGGAUUGGAAAGUCUUCAGGUAUCGAAUGACAACAGAAGAAUGACCGAUGUAAGUCGAGCCGAGCCGAUACAAGCCGAGCCAAGCCUAUAUAAGCCGAGCCGAGUGCUAGUUCCCCCAAUUACCAGGUCAAGGAUGCUCUAUUCAUAGCUUUCGAACAAUCACAUACAAACUGAGCUUUAUGGAGAGUUCCUAUAGGA